GACGGAGGGGGCAAGCGUUGUCCGGAGUCACUGGGCGUAAAGCGCGCGCAGGCGGCAACCUAAGUGUCGUGUGAAAGCCCCCGGCUCAACCGGGGGAGGCCAUGGCAAACUGGGUCGCUCGAGCUGCGGAGACGCCCCUCGAAUUGCCGGUGUAGCGGUGAAAUGCGUAGAGAUCGGCAGGAAGACCAAGGGGGAAGCCAGGGGGCUGGCCGCAGGCUGACGCUGAGGCGCGACAGCGUGGGGAGCAAACCGG
rnacentral:rRNA from 1 species